rnacentral:rRNA from 1 species
AGUGAACGCUGGCGGUAGGCCUAACACAUGCAAGUCGAACGGCAGCACAGUAAGAGCUUGCUCUUACGGGUGGCGAGUGGCGGACGGGUGAGGAAUACAUCGGAAUCUACUUUUUCGUGGGGGAUUACGUAGGGCAACAUACGCUAACACCGCAUACGUCCUACGGGUGAAAGCAGGGGUUCUUCAGACCUUGCGCGAUUGAAUGAGCCGAUGUCGGAUUAGCUAGUUGGCGGGGUAAAGGCCCACCAAGGCAACGAUCCGUAGCAGAUCUGAGAGGAUGAUCAGCCACACUGGAACUGAGACACGGUCCAGACUCCUAUGGGAGGCAGCAGUGGGGAAUAUUGGACAAUGGGCGCAAGCCUGAUCCAGCCAUACCGCGUGGGUGAAGAAGGCCUUCGGGUUGUAAAGCCCUUUUGUUGGGAAAGAAAAGCAGCAGGUUAAUACCCCGCUGUUCUGACGGUACCCAAAGAAUAAGCACCGGCUAACUUCGUG